GCCUUCGGGGUCCGAGCGGCGAACGGGUGAGUAACACGUGAGCAAUCUGCCCUUCUCUUUGGAAUAACCAUUGGAAACGAUGGCUAAUGCCGAAUAUGAACCCCUUUCGCAUGUUGGGGGUUGGAAAGCUCCGGCGGAGAAGGAUGAGCUCGCGGCCUAUCAGCUUGUUGGUGAGGUAAUGGCUCACCAAGGCAUUGACGGGUAGCCGGCCUGAGAGGGUGACCGGCCACACUGGGACUGAGACACGGCCCAGACUCCUACGGGAGGCAGCAGUGGGGAAUAUUGGACAAUGGGCGAAAGCCUGAUCCAGCAACGCCGCGUGAGGGAUGACGGCCUUCGGGUUGUAAACCUCUUUCAGCAGGGACGAAGCGAGAGUGACGGUACCUGCAGAAGAAGGACCGGCCAACUACGUGCCAGCAGCCGCGGUAAUACGUAGGGUCCGAGCGUUGUCCGGAAUUAUUGGGCGUAAAGGGCUCGUAGGCGGUUUGUCGCGUCGGGAGUGAAAACUCAGGGCUCAACCCUGAGCGUGCUUCCGAUACGGGCAGACUAGAGGUAUGCAGGGGAGAACGGAAUUCCUGGUGUACGGUGGAAUGCGCAGAUAUCAGGAGGAACACCGGUGGCGAAGGCGGUUCUCUGGGCAUUACCUGACGCUGAGGACGAAAGCAUGGGGAGCGAACGGGAUUAGAUACCCUGGGAGUCCAUGCCGUAAACGUUGGGCGCUAGGUGUGGGGAC
rnacentral:rRNA from 1 species